rnacentral:sRNA from 1 species
AACUUUCUGUUCUGUUUCUCCUCUGUUUGAAAUCCAAAAGCAUCCAAAGUACCUGAAAACAACCAAAUAUGCAAUGCACAUGCAAUCCUAAUGCAAAAUCGUCCUAAGUAUGCAAAACACACUAAAACGACUCUUAA